AACGUAGGACACAAGCGUUAUCCGGAGUUACUGGGCGUAAAGGGCGUGUAGGCGGACCUAUAAGUCUAUUCUGAAAGCUCCUGGCUAAACUGGGAGAGGCGAAUGGAGACUGUAGAUCUAGAGUGAGGAAGAGGAAAGUGGAAUUCCGCGUGUAGUGGUGAAAUGCGUAGAGAUGCGGAGGAACACCGGUGGCGAAGGCGGCUCACUGGACCGAGACUGACGCUGAGACGGCGAAAGCGUGGGGAGCGAACAGG
rnacentral:rRNA from 1 species